rnacentral:rRNA from 1 species
UACGUAGGGUGCAAGCGUUGUCCGGAAUUAUUGGGCGUAAAGAGCUCGUAGGCGGCUCGUCGCGUCGGCUGUGAAAACACGGGGCUUAACCCCGUGCCUGCUUCCGAUACGGGCAGACUAGAGGUAUGCAGGGGAGAACGGAAUUCCUGGUGUAGCGGUGAAAUGCGCAGAUAUCAGGAGGAACACCGGUGGCGAAGGCGGUUCCCUGGGCAUUACCUGACGCUGAGGAGCGAAAGUGUGGGGAGCGAACAGG